GCACCCGUAGCUCAGCUGGAUAGAGCGCUGCCCUCCGAAGGCAGAGGUCAAGCUCUCAAUUUCAAAUAAAACCUCGUUCU
rnacentral:tRNA from 1 species